CAGUCGAGGGCCCAACUUCUCAAAGUGAGC
rnacentral:sRNA from 1 species